GCCGGCGUAGCGCAAUAGUAGCGCAGCGGUCUCCAAAACCGCGUGUUGCAGGUGCAAGUCCUGUCGCCGGUGCCA
rnacentral:tRNA from 1 species